rnacentral:rRNA from 1 species
UAAUACGGAGGGUGCAAGCGUUAUCCGGAUUCACUGGGUUUAAAGGGUGCGUAGGUGGGUUGGUAAGUCAGUGGUGAAAUCCCCGAGCUUAACUUGGGAACUGCCAUUGAUACUAUCAAUCUUGAAUAUUGUGGAGGUUAGCGGAAUAUGUCAUGUAGCGGUGAAAUGCUUAGAUAUGACAUAGAACACCAAUUGCGAAGGCAGCUGGCUACACAUAUAUUGACACUGAGGCACGAAAGCGUGGGGAGCAAACAG